UGGGAAGUGGCAUAGUGAACUUUUUGGAGAACUGGUGAUAUUCUCUAUCUCGACAGGGAUUUGGCUUACACAGAUGAACUCACCAAAUGUAUCCUUGGUAUCUGUGCAUUUUACACUAUGCAAAUUUUUCUUUGAAAGAAUCAAAUGAUGCCCUGAUGCUUCAACUGCACAGAACCUUUCAGGCCUAAGUGGUGGGAUUCUCCAGCACUACAGCCUUUGAAGGACAACAUGAAGCACUGAAGUUCUACAAGACAGUGAGGCAUGCUGCUUAUUCUAAAAGAUCAGGUUUGCUGCCUCCAGUAAGCUGUAUGCUCUCCACAUGCCCUUAAAGCCACCCUGCAGAAGAUCUACUGUAUGGUGUAGUGGCAAAAGAGAGUGACAGAGAAUAUACAAUUCAGAACCGGACAAGUAGUCACUGAACAGACAGAAGGUACGUUAGCAAAAAUAGCAGACCUAUGUGUAAACAGCUCAAGCCAUUCACCUGACAUCAGACCUUUUGCUUGAUCGAAGCUAAUGAUUCAAAACAAAGUUGAAAUAGGACCUGUUGUAAGUAAGACUUGGUAGAGACCCUCAA